rnacentral:rRNA from 1 species
UGGGAACAUACCCUUCGGUUCGGAAUAACUCAGGGAAACUUGGGCUAAUACCGGAUACGUCCGUGAGGAGAAAGAUUCAUCGCCGAAGGAUUGGCCCGCGUAAGAUUAGCUAGUUGGUGAGGUAACGGCUCACCAAGGCUAUGAUCUUUAGCUGGUCUGAGAGGACGAUCAGCCACACUGGGACUGAGACACGGUCCAGACUCCUGCGGGAGGCAG